GCGACGGGUCGAAUUAUCGGCAAUACAGAGAUGGUAUAGGUGCAUACAAGUUCUUAGCGGAUGGCACGAAAUUGCAAGACUUUGACGUCUACCACGUUGAGUGGGACGGUAGAAAGCUCGCUGACCUCUUCAGUGGUUUGCAAGACGGAGAGAUCCUGGUUUUGGCUAGUCAACGUCGCCGUGUUGCUAGCCCGACAAAGAUUAAUGUCAAGCUUGCCUUUGACGCCUUCGAAACGCUGAUUUAUGGCGAAGUCACUGGAAAUGGUUUGCUGCGAUCCGUACCUGACAAAGGAACAUGGGCAUGUGUCUAUCAGAAAGGAAAUCCAAUUAGCUUCCAAGAAGAGGUCAAUGCUCUUGGCCACACAUCGACCGCAGUUCUAGACGCAGGGAAUGGUCUCUUAUUUCUCGCAGAGAGUAUAGGCAUUUCAGACUACAGGAAACAGGAAGACAAUUUCCG